GACGAACGCUGGCGGCGUGCUUAACACAUGCAAGUCGAACGGUGAAGCGCCUUCCUUUUUGGUGGGUGUGGAUGAGUGGCGAACGGGUGAGUAACACGUUAGUAACCUGCCCCCUUCUUCUGGAUAACCGCAUGAAAGUGUGGCUAAUACGGGAUAUUCUGUGUCUGUCGCAUGAUGGGUCUGGGAAAGAUAUUGUUUCGGUGGGGGAUGGGCUCGCGGCCUAUCAGCUUGUUGGUGGGGUGAUGGCCUACCAAGGCGGUGACGGGUAGCCGGCAUGAGAGGGUGGACGGCCACACUGGGACUGAGACACCGCGCAGACUCCUACGGGAGGCAGCAGUGGGGAAUAUUGCACAAUGGGCGCAAGCCUGAUGCAGCGACGCCGCGGGAGGGAUGGAGGCCUUCGGGUUGUGAACCUCUUUCGCCAGUGAAGCAGGCCUGCCUCGUUUGUGGGUGGGUUGACGGUAGCUGGAGAAGAAGCGCCGGCUAACUACGUG
rnacentral:rRNA from 1 species